rnacentral:misc_RNA from 1 species
GGAAGGAUCAUUAUUGAAAGCUUCGGCUUCCUUUGAUGCUUAACCCUUUUGAUGUCCAUUACCUCAGUUGCUUCCACGAAUUCUUCUUGGAUUCGUGGUUGGCCUUUAAUAAAAACCUUUAUAAUUAGCUAUGUUUUGUCUGAAUAAACAAAAAAUGUUUUAAAACUUUCAACAACGGAUCUCUUGGCUCCUGCAUCGAUGAAGAACGCAGCGAAAUGCGAUAAUUAAUGUGAAUUGCAGAAUUCAGUGAAUCAUCGAGUCUUUGAACGCACAUUGCGCCCCAUGGUAUUCCGUGGGGCAUGCCUGUCUGAGCGUCAGCAACACCACUCAAGCAUAGCUUUAUUGCCUUGCUUGGACUAUAUCAGAGAAGCAGUUUGUUUACUAACCGCCCUCUGGAAAUUGAUAGAUGGUCAGGUUGUCACACUAUGCCAAACGUCAUAUGAUUUACAUCGUUCGUUUGCAUUGGUUGAUAUCUUGAUAGUCAUUGAACCCACAGUGUAUGCUGUUUUUUUCUGACUUGACCUCAGAUCAGGUAGGGAUACCCGCUGAACUUAAGCAUAUCAAUAAGCGGAGGAAAAGAAACCAACAGGGAUUGCCUCAGUAACGGCGAGUGAAGCGGCAAAAGCUCAGAUUUGAAAUCUGGCGUCUUAUGGCGUCCGAGUUGUAAUCUGUAGAGGAGUGUUCGAGCAUAGCUUUGGCUUAAGUUCCUUGGAACAGGACGUCAUGGAGGGUGAGAAUCCCGUGUACGGCCUUUGACUUGUGCUUAUGUGAACCUCCUUCAACGAGUCGAGUUGUUUGGGAAUGCAGCUCUAAAUGGGUGGUAAAUUUCAUCUAAAGCUAAAUACUGGCAGGAGACCGAUAGCGCACAAGUAGAGUGAUCGAAAGAUGAAAAGAACUUUGGAAAGAGAGUUAAAUAGUACGUGAAAUUGUUGAAAGGGAAGCACUUGCUCCCAGACUUGCCUGCAGCUGAUCAAUCACCAUUUUUGGUGGUGCACUUGGUUGUAGGCAGGCCAGCAUCAGUCCAGACGACGAGAAAAAGGUGCAGGGAAUGUGGCUCUUUUCGGAGAGUGUUAUAGCCCUGUACGUAAUGUCGCCUGCCUGGACUGAGGCCCGCGCUUCGGCGAGGAUGCUGGCGUAAUGGUCGUAAGUGACCCGUCUUGAAACACGGACCAAGGAGUCUAACAGCUGUGCGAGUGUUUGGGUGGAAAACCCUCACGCGCAAUGAAAGUGAAUGGAGGUGGGAACCGCAAGGUGCACCAUCGACCGAUCCUGAUGUCUUCGGAUGGAUUUGAGUAGGAGCAUAGCUGUUGGGACCCGAAAGAUGGUGAACUAUGCCUGAAUAGGGUGAAGCCAGAGGAAACUCUGGUGGAGGCUCGCAGCGGUUCUGACGUGCAAAUCGAUCGUCAAAUUUGGGUAUAGGGGCGAAAGACUAAUCGAACCAUCUAGUAGCUGGUUCCGGC